rnacentral:lncRNA from 1 species
CAUUUGCUUUCCUCCGGGCACCGCCGACACCGAGGACUGGCAAGGAAACGUGACUGAUGGAAACUGGAGUGCAGAAGGCACAAGCAGUGGAGCGCUGGUCACCUUGAAUGGUGUAGGUUGCCACUCAGCCAGGAUUGCUUAUGCGAUGCGCGACAAACUGUGCAGAUAUUUCAUCACAGAGGGAAGGGUACCGUGGCAGGAGAGCCACGUAAAAGACUGCAGAUGGUAACCAGCCAAAAGUGUCACUGCUUGGAGUUCGACGAGAACUUCUGGCACCCGAGCAGCUGCUGCCUGCCUCGAAAUCCAACCUCUCUACCUCAUGGAUGUCAUUGAAUGGUUCGAGUUGGGAGUCGUCAUCUUGGCUUGUGCUGGCUCUUUCGG